rnacentral:lncRNA from 1 species
AACUGUUUUUCAGCGCAUACAUCCGCAGCUGAGUAGUCAUUUAUUUUUUGCUUUUGAAUAACUUUCCGCAAAACAAAGAACCAACAUCAAGUAGAGCAGGAGGAUUAGGGAUUGUCGGAACCUGAAAGUACAAAUUCAGUAUCCUAAUACAUCUAUGCAUUAAUAUUACAAAAGCCUUUUAUACGAUUUUUAAUAGAUUCUUAAAAGGGUUUAAAAAGCUGUUUAUAAGGAUUUUAAAAGAUUGUUAUAAGGACUUUACAAGAACCAAGUUGUUUUCAAACUAACUUAUAAACAAUAUAAGGUUACCUUAUCUAAAGUAGUAGAUUACUUGAGUACGAUUUGGACAAGAAACAUCAGUAGUCAAAAAUAAGUUGUUUGGUUACGUAUCACCGGCUGCUGAUUAAUGAUAGUAGACGUUCUAGGUUCCUCAGCGGAAGUAAAAAGACCAGCAGUAGCAGCAAAAGGAUUAGGCAUUGUCGGAACCUGAAACUACAAAUUCAGUAUCCUAAUAAAUCUAUGCAUUAAAAAUACAAAAGCUUUUAAAAGUCUUUUAUACGAUUUUUAAUAGAAUUUUAAAAGGGUUUUAUAAGGACUUUAUAAGAACCAUGUUGUUUACAAAGAACUUGUCUUGUUUAUAAUGUUUUAAAGGGGUUUUAAAUGAUUUUUAUAAGGUUUUCAAAAGUUUUAAACAAUAUUUUUAUAAGAGGUUUACCUGAGAAAGAGAAGCAGAAGAUACAUCGCUUGCAACAAACUGAUAUGACCUAGUUUGAUUCUGAAAAGUAAACACGUAAUAAGUUAAUAAUGAUUUGAAACAAUAUUUUUUUUUAAAGGGUUUUUCUAAAGUAGUAGAUUACCUGAGUAUGAUUUGGACAAGAAACAUUAGUAGCCCCAAAAGAAGUUGUUUGGUUACAUAUAACCGGCUGCUGAUUAAUGAUAGUAGACGUUCUAGGUACCUCAGUGGAAGUAAAAAGACCAGAAGUAGCAGCAUGAGGAUUAGGCAUUGUCGGAACCUGAAAAUACAAAUUCAGUAUCCUAAUAAUAGAUGAUUUUUUAAACAACUUUUUUUGUUUAUAACGUUUUAAAAGGGUUUUAAAUGAUUUUUAUAAGGUUUUCAAAAGUUUUAAAAAGUAUUUUUAAAAGAGGUUUACCUGAGAAUGAGAAGCAGAUGAUACAUCACUAGCAACAAACUGAUAUGAG